rnacentral:rRNA from 1 species
CCUACGGGAGGCAGCAGUGAGGAAUAUUGGUCAAUGGGAGGAAUCCUGAACCAGCCAUGCCGCGUGCAGGACGACGGCUCUACGAGUUGUAAACUGCUUUUGUACCGGGGUAAAAUGCUCUACGAGUAGGGUUUUGAAAGUACGGUACGAAUAAGGAUCGGCUAACUCCGUGCCAGCAGCCGCGGUAAUACGGAGGAUCCGAGCGUUAUCCGGAUUUAUUGGGUUUAAAGGGUGCGUAGGUGGUUUUAUAAGUUAGCGGUGAAAUACCGAUGCUCAACAUCGGGGCUGCCGCUAAUACUGUAGGACUAGAGAGCGGAUGCAGCAGGCGGAAUGUGUAGGGUAGCGGUGAAAUGCAUAGAUAUUACACAGAACACCGAUUGCGAAGGCAGCUUGCUAGGCCGGAUCUGACACUGAUGCACGAAAGCGUGGGGAUCGAACAGGAUUAGAUACCCGUGUAGUC